UAGCCAUGAUGUGGACACCAACUCAAGAGAUCUUUGAAUCUCUCCCAACAGUGAAAGAAGGUCUCUUCCUCUUUUUGGGAAAAAUUCGUGAUUUCCCUCCUUAAGGUG